rnacentral:rRNA from 1 species
GACGAACGCUGGCGGCGUGCCUAAUACAUGCAAGUAGAACGCUGAAGAGAGGAGCUUGCUCUUCUUGGAUGAGUUGCGAACGGGUGAGUAACGCGUAGGUAACCUGCCUGGUAGCGGGGGAUAACUAUUGGAAACGAUAGCUAAUACCGCAUGAUAUUAAUUGUCGCAUGAUAAUUAAUUGAAAGAUGCAAUUGCAUCACUACCAGAUGGACCUGCGUUGUAUUAGCUAGUUGGUGAGGUAACGGCUCACCAAGGCGACGAUACAUAGCCGACCUGAGAGGGUGAUCGGCCACACUGGGACUGAGACACGGCCCAGACUCCUACGGGAGGCAGCAGUAGGGAAUCUUCGGCAAUGGGGGGAAGUCUGACCGAGCAACGCCGCGUGAGUGAAGAAGGUUUUCGGAUCGUAAAGCUCUGUUGUAAGAGAAGAACGAGUGUGAGAGUGGAAAGUUCACACUG